rfam:Streptococcus henryi strain A-4 genome assembly, contig: IE83DRAFT_scaffold00026.26
AAUUAGUUUCGGUAGGUGAGGCUACUGAAGGGAUACGGAUUACUGCCGCAAAAUGGUGGAGACACCAUGCGUUGGCCAACAGUCUUUAUCGAAACAAGGUUUAGAAUAGUGUAAUAACAUCGCCCUUCAAAGCUAAAGCUCAAACGUAACAAGUCAUCA